rnacentral:lncRNA from 1 species
UCUCUCUCUCUCUCUCGUUUUGUGUGUAUGCAUGUAUGUGACAAGCUCAUCCACAAAUUAAGGAAAACCGUACGCAAUUAUAUACAUUAAUUAUCAUUUUUUUUGACUAAGCUUGCAUGAUGAUUAAUUAUUUCUCGUAUUUAUAACUAGUGGUUAGAUGACUAAAUUUGUCUAAAAAAUAAAUUAAAUAAUUGCCUUUACAAAUUAUUCACAACACUCCAUCAUUCUUGUUUUAGCAUCUAUUAAUUUGAUGAGAUAUCAGUGUCGUU